GACAGAGGCCUCAAGCGUUAGGCGGAAUCACUGGGCUUAAAGCGUGUGUAGGCGGGUCGUUAAGUACCUUGUGAAAUCCCACGGCUCACCCGUGGAACUGCUGGGUAUACUGGCGAUCCUGGGCCAUUCAGGGGCAACUGGAACAAACGGUGGAGCGGUGAAAUGCGUAGAUAUCGUUUGGAACGCCAAAGGUGAAAACAGGUUGCUGGGAAUGUGCCGACGCUGA
rnacentral:rRNA from 1 species